CCUACGGGCGGCAGCAGUGAGGAAUAUUGGUCAAUGGACGAGAGUCUGAACCAGCCAAGUAGCGUGAAGGAUGACUGCCCUAUGGGUUGUAAACUUCUUUUAUAUGGGAAUAAAAUGUUCUACGUUUGUGAUCUUGUAUGUACCAUAUGAAUAAGGAUCGGCUAACUCCGUGCCAGCAGCCGCGGUAAUACGGAGGAUACGAGCGUUAUCCGGAUUUAUUGGGUUUAAAGGGAGCGUAGGUGGAUUGGUAAGUUAGUUGUGAAAGGUUUCGGCUCAACCGUAACAUUGCAGUUGAAACUGGCAGUCUUGAGUACAGUAGAGGUGAGCGGAAUUCGUGGUGUAGCGGUGAAAUGCUUAGAUAUCACGAAGAACUCCGAUUGCGAAGGCAGUUCACUGGACUGCAACUGACACUGAGGCUCGAAAGUGUGGGGAGCAAACAGGAUUAGAUACCCUAGUAGUC
rnacentral:rRNA from 1 species